rnacentral:rRNA from 1 species
GACGAACGCUGGCGGCGUGCCUAAUACAUGCAAGUAGAACGCUGAAGAGAGGAGCUUGCUCUUCUUGGAUGAGUUGCGAACGGGUGAGUAACGCGUAGGUAACCUGCCUUGUAGCGGGGGAUAACUAUUGGAAACGAUAGCUAAUACCGCAUAACAAUGGAUGACACAUGUCAUUUAUUUGAAAGGGGCAAUUGCUCCACUACAAGAUGGACCUGCGUUGUAUUAGCUAGUAGGUGAGGUAAUGGCUCACCUAGGCGACGAUACAUAGCCGACCUGAGAGGGUGAUCGGCCACACUGGGACUGAGACACGGCCCAGACUCCUACGGGAGGCAGCAGUAAGGAAUCUUCGGCAAUGGGGGCAACCCUGACCGAGCAACGCCGCGUGAGUGAAGAAGGUUUUCGGAUCGUAAAGCUCUGUUGUAAGUCAAGAACGGGUGUGAGAGUGGAAAGUUCACACUGUGACGGUAGCUUACCAGAAAGGGACGGCUAACUACGUGCCAGCAGCCGCGGUAAUACGUAGGUCCCGAGCGUUGUCCGGAUUUAUUGGGCGUAAAGCGAGCGCAGGCGGUUUGAUAAGUCUGAAGUUAAAGGCUGUGGCUCAACCAUAGUUCGCUUUGGAAACUGUCAAACUUGAGUGCAGAAGGGGAAGAGUGGAAUUCCAUGUGUAGCGGUGAAAUGCGUAGAUAUAUGGAGGAACACCGGUGGCGAAAGCGGCUCUCUGGUCUGUAACUGACGCUGAGGCUCGAAAGCGUGGGGAGCGAACAGGAUUAGAUACCCUGGUAGUCCACGCCGUAAACGAUGAGUGCUAGGUGUUGGAUCCUUUCCGGGAUUCAGUGCCGCAGCUAACGCAUUAAGCACUCCGCCUGGGGAGUACGACCGCAAGGUUGAAACUCAAAGGAAUUGACGGGGGCCCGCACAAGCGGUGGAGCAUGUGGUUUAAUUCGAAGCAACGCGAAGAACCUUACCAGGUCUUGACAUCCCGAUGCUAUUUCUAGAGAUAGAAAGUUACUUCGGUACAUCGGUGACAGGUGGUGCAUGGUUGUCGUCAGCUCGUGUCGUGAGAUGUUGGGUUAAGUCCCGCAACGAGCGCAACCCCUAUUGUUAGUUGCCAUCAUUCAGUUGGGCACUCUAGCGAGACUGCCGGUAAUAAACCGGAGGAAGGUGGGGAUGACGUCAAAUCAUCAUGCCCCUUAUGACCUGGGCUACACACGUGCUACAAUGGUUGGUACAACGAGUUGCGAGUCGGUGACGGCGAGCUAAUCUCUUAAAGCCAAUCUCAGUUCGGAUUGUAGGCUGCAACUCGCCUACAUGAAGUCGGAAUCGCUAGUAAUCGCGGAUCAGCACGCCGCGGUGAAUAAAUUCCCGGGCCU